CGUGCGAGCGCGCCCCUCCCGGGCUCCGCCGCCCCGGAGGCCCAAGCCGCGCGCAAACUUUUGCUCCAGUGCCCAGCGCUCUUCUCCGGCAUGUGAAGCCCCCAGGCGCCCGCGCAGCCGCCAGGUUGACCCCGCGAGCGGGGGCUGGGGCCCGAGAUGCUCCUCCGGGACCUGGUGCUGCGCGGUGGCUGCUGCUGGCCCUCGCUGCUGCUGCACUGCGCUCUCCACCCGCUCUGGGGUUUCGUGCAGGUGACGCAGGGUGAGCCCCAGAAGUCCUGCUCCAAAGUGACCGACAGCUGCCAACAUGUCUGCCAGUGCCGGCCGCCGCCCCCGCUGCCCCCACCGCCGCCGCCCCCGCCACCUCCCAGACUCCUCUCCUCCCCACCCCCCAACUCCACCCCGUGCCCCGCUGAGGAGAGCUGGUGGUCAGGGCUGGUGAUCGUCGUGGCGGUGUGCUGUGCCUCCCUGGUGUUCCUGACCGUGCUUGUCAUCAUUUGCUACAAAGCCAUCAAGAGGCGCCAGGCCAUUUAGGGAGCCGUCUGUGGCCAUCUCUGCCUGGACCAAGGUGGAACUGCCUCUCCUUGGUUAGCAGGGCCAGCCCUGGGUCACUGAGCCUGGAGCCCCGCUGGGUCCUUACUGAGCCUGGAGCCCGGUUGGGUCCUCACUGAGCCUGGAGCCUGAUUGGGUCCUCACUGAGCCUGGAGCCUGGCUGGGUCCUCACUGAGCCUGGAGCCCACUGGGUCCUCAUGAGCUUGGAGCCCGGCUGGGUCCUCACUGAGCCUGGAGCCUGAUUGGGUCCUAGCCACUCUCUCUAGUGUUUCCAGCCCUGCCAGGGGCCCAUUAGAUUACGUAGUUGAGAACACCCUCAGCUUCUGACUGACUCUACAAGGACCCGAGGAUGCUAACCCUGAACAGAGCCUGGGGGUGCUAGCUGGGAGGGCCUGAUAAACCCCCACACCCAGUGAUAACUGACGGAUUCCCUGCGUCCCUCGCCCAUGUCUUCCCUGCCGCCUCUGCCCACUUCCAGGAAACCCCUGAGGAAAGACGAAAACGGCACCAGCGCUGCUGAGUACCCCAUGACUUCCUCCCAGGACGGCAAGGGGCUGGACGUGAACAACGCAGUGGUGUGAGCCUGCGGGCCCCGGACCUGCUGGCCAGAGGGACACCUCGGCAGCGCUAAGGCACGUGGGAGACGAGUGGACGCGAGCAGACGCUGGGCUUGUCCAGGACUUCGUUGCCUUGCAGGCCUCAAGCCCCCGAAGGAGAAACCAUCCCCUUCCCGGCUGUGCCCCAGGCAGCCCGUGGCAGAGGCGACUCAGAUGCCCGGCCUGAGCCGGGCUCACCCUGCACGCAGCGCCCGGGACCAGCCUCUCCGCCCGAGGCUCCUCCACGUCCUCCUCCUCGUCUUGUGUUUGACUCGCCAUCCCCCAGCUGCUCUCUAAAGCUCGUGCUUGUCAGACAAGAAGGCAGAGGGGCCUGUCUGCCUGCUGGGACAUGGGGGUGUCCCCCUUUUAGCCCAAAGGAAGGUGAUCCAGGGGUCCAUCCUCCGACUGAAAACCUCCUCCCCUCCCAGAAAGCCCAUCUGCUUCUCUGCUGCACACACAGGUCCCAACAGAAGCCACUGGCGCAGCCCUGAGACUCCCCUCGCAAAGGUGCUCCCCACACAUCUGUCUGUCGUCACCCCUGCCCCCACCCACAGCUCUCCUCACUGCUGCCCCCCUCCUCCUCUCCCCAACACCCCCUGGGCCCAAGCCCCUCUGCCUGCCAUUAAGGACUGUGAGCCCAGCCUGCAAAAGCCCCUCUCCCGAGCAGACAAAGUUCAUUUACACCAGGGGCUUGUGAAACUGACUUGCCAAGCCCCAGACCAAGGGCCGCCGGGGAGGGCAGAGGCCCCUGCACCUGUUCCCAGACUCCUUCCCAGACCCGCCUCCUAGGAACCCCCGCCCCCGCCUCCCUGGGAGCCAGGCCCCGCCUUGGUCCAGCAGAGGCUACCCUUGUGCCAAACCCGGCCUGCUGGGCUGGCCAGGCCUAGCUCUGGGCCUCCCUGACAUGCCCAGGUCUCCUGACUGCCCCCCAAGAGCUUCCCUCCUUAUCCUAGUGAGGUGGAGUUUUCUGAAAGUGUUGGGCACUCCUGAGUGGUUGGUGGGGGAGGGAAAGGGAGAGAGAAAGCAGAGAGGAAUUUUCCAGGCUGGGAGCCCUGUGCAACCGGCCUGUUCCCCGUUGGCUGCUGGCCCUGUUGGGCUCAUCUCUGGGCCCCUGGGGACAGCGGCCUCCUGGUGAAUUGGAGGACACUUGUGACCCCGUGGGUGCCCCCAUGCCCCACACACUUGCUCAGAAGGAACCAGAUGCCUUUAAUGGUCACUCCUGGCCGUGUAGGGAUUUAGCUGGGUGGGCCCGGUUUGCCCCCCAGAGCACCAUAUGCACCAGUGAGUUCUCUGGCAGGUGUUUGGCCAUGGAAAUUGCCCCCCUUGCAAAUGCAGGUGAGACUGAUGGACUUGAAAGCCAGCCCCCAUUUGGGCCGAACCUUGAUCUGUCCGUUGUCCCAGAGCCUGGUGCUCGCAGGGUUUUCUGUGCAUCACUGUCUUUGGGGCCCAAAGGACAGCAGAGCGUUUGCUGUGACACUAACCCGGGGUCUGUGGGCACAGGCUGAGGCCAGGCCUGGGGCCUGCCCCCUGACAGGUUUCUUCUUUUCUGUUUUCCUUCUUUUUGGGGGCUUGGUUUUGGUUUGGAUGCGGGUUUCGCUCUCCAGCAUGCCUUCCGUGGUCAGAGAGGGCAGCUCCAGCUAGGGGGAAGGGCUCUGUCUGUCUGCAGAGUGCCGGGAGCCCUGCGAGGGGAGCGGGACACAGCUCAGCGCUUUAUAAACCCACCCCUCCCACCACCCCCAGACCUUGGUUUAAACCCAGGAGGCCCCAGAUGACUCUGCAGUUAGCCUGAUCCUCCGGUGUCCUGAGGCUCCCCGGCAGGGAGCCCCCCGAGCCCUCCGUGGGCCUGGGCAUUGCCUCCCCUCCCCAGACUCGUCCCACGUCCAUCCGUCCGUCCAGGGCUCAGGUAAAGGCUGACGUUUGCGUAUAAAUUUCCUCUAAACUGGGUUUAUAAAACCCCUUCUCUCCCAGUUAGAGAAAACUUAGGAAGAGCCCAGUUUUUAGAAAGGAUUCACUUGAGAACAACCCUCCAAACCCAAAACCAGUCACACAGAAGACAUUUCGUGGUGGGUGAGUGGGCUCCUCCGGGUUUCUACCUGAGAGACUGAAGCGUACAGAAAACCACACCUGCCUUGUGUCUGAGCUUGAACUUUUUAUUUAAGGAAUGUAUCUGCAGCCCUCAAGACAGACCAGUUCUCAGACUUGCCCAUUCUGAGGUCGGGAAUGAAAGGCACAUUCCUUCCUGCAUUUUAUCAAACACAUAUUUUUUCAACUGCCUCACAGUUGAGGCCAACUUUAGAAUUUAAAGGUACAUAGGCGCCCUCAGACUUUUCAGGUGUUCCUUAGAAGCUUCUGAAGCAAGUUUUGGAGGAAAGCUUUAUGUGUAUAAAAAUAUAGACACAUAUAUAUAUAGUUAUAUAUAUUUAAAGAGAUGUUAUAUAUACAUGCACACACACAAUUACUAUACUCUCUGCAUCUGUACAGAAAAUAUAGUGUGAGAUUUUAAUGCAUGAAUGUAAAUAUCCUGAAAUCUGCCUUCUUAACGAUGUGCUGUGUGCACGGGGAAGGUGACUCCCGUCCUAGGCUUCUGUCUCAAUGGACAGACGCACAUGUCAUGGCCGUCUGUCCUCUGACAAGCCAUCACUGUCAAUUUUGUGCUCAGCUGCUGUGCAAGGGCCAGGAGCAGCAACAAUGGGGGCACGAGGUGACACGAGGAAGAAAGCACCAUGACUUUUUUUAUUUUCAAUAAAA